rnacentral:tmRNA from 1 species
CCCCUUUUCAAACGCCCUCAAAGCCCCUAUAUGUGAAGCGUCCCUUCGGGGAAUAUGGUGAUAAACGCGCAUGUAAUAGAUGGAUCGGACCCGGGGGCGGUACCCGGCGACUCCACCAAAUAUCCCUUCAUUUGAGGGAUCAUGGGGUCGAAAUAGGAUCGACGGACGUUCAAAGAUGUUAGCUUUUACUCGGCGGACUGCCACCGUAUCGGCGUAAAAUGUACAAUUGCAAAUGACAAUCGUGCUCCAGUGGCUCUCGCAGCGUAAGCUGUGCGAAAUACUGAAACCUAACUCCAUGCUAUUAGCGUAGUAUGGCGGGGUUCGGAGGUACCUGGCAACAGAAACCUCCACU